GUCGAGCGGAAAGGCCCUUCGGGGUACUCGAGCGGCGAACGGGUGAGUAACACGUGAGUAACCUGCCCCAGGCUUUGGGAUAACCCCGGGAAACCGGGGCUAAUACCGGAUAUGACCAUCUGUCGCAUGGUGGGUGGUGGAAAGAUUUUUUGGCUUGGGAUGGGCUCGCGGCCUAUCAGCUUGUUGGUGGGGUGAUGGCCUACCAAGGCGGCGACGGGUAGCCGGCCUGAGAGGGCGACCGGCCACACUGGGACUGAGACACGGCCCAGACUCCUACGGGAGGCAGCAGUGGGGAAUCUUGCACAAUGGGCGGAAGCCUGAUGCAGCGACGCCGCGUGAGGGAUGACGGCCUUCGGGUUGUAAACCUCUUUCAGCAGGGACGAAGCGUUUGUGACGGUACCUGCAGAAGAAGCGCCGGCCAACUACGUGCCAGCAGCCGCGGUAAGACGUAGGGCGCAAGCGUUGUCCGGAUUUAUUGGGCGUAAAGAGCUCGUAGGCGGCUUGUCGCGUCGACUGUGAAAACCCGUGGCUCAACUGCGGGCUUGCAGUCGAUACGGGCAGGCUAGAGUUCGGUAGGGGAGACUGGAAUUCCUGGUGUAGCGGUGAAAUGCGCAGAUAUCAGGAGGAACACCGGUGGCGAAGGCGGGUCUCUGGGCCGAUACUGACGCUGAGGAGCGAAAGCGUGGGGAGCGAACAGGAUUAGAUACCCUGGUAGUCCACGCUGUAAACGUUGGGCGCUAGGUGUGGGGGGCCUCUCCGGUUCUCUGUGCCGCAGCUAACGCAUUAAGCGCCCCGCCUGGGGAGUACGGCCGCAAGGCUAAAACUCAAAGGAAUUGACGGGGG
rnacentral:rRNA from 1 species